AAGGGCACCACAAGAACGCGUGGAGCAUGUGGCUUAAUUUGACUCAACGGGGGAAAUCUUACCGGGUCCGGACACACUGAGGGUUGACAGGCGCUUGCAUAGCGGCCCGCCCGCCCUUGUGGUGGUGCGGUGCUCCGCCAAUGCUUUCAAAUAUGCUAGUCCUUUCAUGAUUGUGUGAUAGGUGGUGCAUGGCCGUUCUUAGUUCGUGGAGUGAUCUGUCUGCUUAAUUGCGUUUCACAAGGGACUUGAAUGGCAUACGUUGGGCGAGUGCGCCCUCCUAUCCGCUGCCUUCGGGCCGGGGGAGUGCCGCGCCUCGCUUUCAAUCGCCAACAGUCCCGAAGGCAACGAACGUGACCGCAACCUCUUGUUACCUCUCUGUUUUCCACUUCGGCUAGCAGUUGGCGUUCGCGUCAUCUUGCUUGUCCGUUGAGAGAGGUAAACUAGAGGGACCGCCGACGUUUUCAAACCGGAGGAAGGUUGCGGCAAUAACAGGUCUGUGAUGCCCUUAGAUGUUCCGGGCUGCACACGUGCUACAAUGAUUAUUGCAGUGAGCAUCUUCACAAGUUCGUGGGAUGUCUGCGUCGGCCCCGGUAUGCUCGUGCUUGCCGAAGCCUGUCUGUGGGGCGUGGGGCUGGGGGUUUCCCUCACGGGUUGCCCCUGGUCUUCCUGCGCCCCCGGCGUGGUUGAGGCGGCCGGCUCUGGGCUGCCGAUGCGCAUCCGCUAUCACGACACGCCUGGUUCGAAAGUAAUCAGGUAAUCAAUUCGAAGUAAUGAUUUCCACCCGCACAUCUAUAGCGCCCGUGGCCGUCGGCAUCUCGCCGUCUGGCUCACUGGGCGUGUGCUCCAUAACUUCGUGGUGGGGACAGACCCUUGUUAAUUGUUGGUCUCGGUCUCAACUAGGAAUGCCUUGUACGGGUCUUGGUUCAACAAACCAC
rnacentral:rRNA from 1 species